rnacentral:lncRNA from 1 species
ACAACUAGUUUUGUGCCUCUCAACGUCGUCAGGAACGCCGAAUGAUUCAUUCAACACUUGAAUGAUAUCUUCCGGCUGCGUAUUCUCAAAACGCCUACUAAACUCAUCACUCAUUGCUGCCAACAUGAUGCAUCGAACAGUGAUCCGGUCACUGAGCCACGUGUCUCUGGCCGAUCUUGAUGCAUUAGCAGCGGGCUGCUCAGGUGCUUGAUCCGUUAUCACAUAAAGGAUCCUCUCAUGCUCUAGCACUAUUUUCAGUUUCCUAUG